UGGCUGGUGGUCCAAUGGUACGAUUCGGCGUUUGGGACGCCGAGAUAUGGGUUCGACUCCCUUCCAGCCAA
rnacentral:tRNA from 1 species